ensembl:lncRNA
AGGUGUUGAAUCACAAGAUAUAGAGGUAAAUCUGCAGGACCUCCAGAAUUACUGACAAUGAAAACUUAAUUCCAACUAAAAUGAGAAGCUUUACGUUGUAAUAUGCAGGAGCGACUCUCUAACAAGCAAGACAAGUGGACAAGGAGAAACAGCUCCUCCACAUGAUGUAUAUGCUUGCAUUGUAUACCAGAAAUUCGCUUAGCAUUAGCUUUAAUAUUAUAUUGGAGAAGGUGGGCUGUGUUUUCUUUUGUUUUUCUUUUUGUUGAUGUAACAUUUGUUAAUAACAGUACAUAAUGUAUGUAAUAUACAGAAUCAGUACUAUUCAGGAGCAUCUUCCACAGGCUGGGUGAAUGUAUUCUAUUUAAUAUCAGGGUAAAAUUUUUAGUAUCCAAUAUUAUAAAACAUUCACCUUUAAAAAGGUAAAACAUUUUAAAUUUUGGUAAGAAAACAAAGUAAAUCCACUUGGCCAACACAAAGAUGACAAGUUCAGCAUUUGAUGAGAUUGGUAUUGAAGUAGAUUUGUGCUAUUCAUACCAAUCAGUAAUGGUGAUAUUGUACAAAAACUUCAUCCCAGUGUCCUGUAAGGCUUUUUACAUUUUUUAAAAAUUUUAUUUAGUCAUCUCAACAUGAACCAGAAAUAUUUGCUAAUCCACUCUGUUAUAUAUCUCCAUUCUAAAUCUCAUACUUUUUCAGUGGGACUGAACCAUUCGUGUGUAAAUACAACAACUCAAGAUGCAGAAAACUUGAUAGUAUUCUACAUUCUGUAUGAAGCUUUCUAUACUGUAGUGAAGAAACAGAAAUAUUAUUGGUUGCUUAUUGAUUUUUUCCUCAUUAUAAUGCAUAGUCUGGAUUUUUAGAUUUAUUCACAUAUACCUAAAUAUCACAAUUUAAUUAAUUAAUUUAAAAGAGUAACUCAUCUCACGAAGGGAGCUGUUUGCUUAUGACUUUUAUCCACAUACAGUAACUCCAAUCUCACUGGGUGUUCAAAUGGAUUUUCCUGGACUGUAAAAUCAAAACUAGAGUCAGCAGUAUUUUUACCACCUUUACAAGCACAAAAACUUUUCCAUGUUUAACCAGAAAUUAAACCGGCAACAAGUUUUUGUAAGUUUUAAAAUGUUCGCAAGUGAAUUGUUUUACAAACUCAAAUGUACUUCUAUUUGGACUCUGAAGAGGGAAGUAAUUAGACACAAACGAGGCAUCAUGACCUGUGACAUCAAUAGUGACAUGAAUGGACCAAAGUACACUCUUGUUUCUGUCAUGUUCAUUACUGGUUAACACUUUAGGCAUUUUUGAGAAGCCUGGUAAACAAUGCACAAGUUGAGAUCAAUAGUGUAAUUUAUAUAGUAUGGUACAGAGGAUACAAUAGUAAGUAGUGAU